AUUGAACGCUGGCGGCAGGCUUAACACAUGCAAGUCGAGCGGGGGAAGGUAGCUUGCUACUGGACCUAGCGGCGGACGGGUGAGUAAUGCUUAGGAAUCUGCCUAUUAGUGGGGGACAACAUCUCGAAAGGGAUGCUAAUACCGCAUACGUCCUACGGGAGAAAGCGGGGGAUCUUCGGACCUUGCGCUAAUAGAUGAGCCUAAGUCGGAUUAGCUAGUUGGUGGGGUAAAGGCCUACCAAGGCGACGAUCUGUAGCGGGUCUGAGAGGAUGAUCCGCCACACUGGGACGGAGACACGGACCAGACUCCUACGGGAGGCAGCAGUGGGGAAUAUUGGACAAUGGGGGGAACCCUGAUCCAGCCAUGCCGCGUGUGUGAAGAAGGCCUUAUGGUUGUAAAGCACUUUAAGCGAGGAGGAGGCUACUCUAGUUAAUACCUAGGGAUAGUGGACGUUACUCGCAGAAUAAGCACCGGCUAACUCUGUGCCAGCCGCCGCGGUAA
rnacentral:rRNA from 1 species